rnacentral:rRNA from 1 species
AGAGCGAACGCUGGCGGCAGGCUUAACACAUGCAAGUCGAGCGCCCCGCAAGGGGAGCGGCAGACGGGUGAGUAACGCGUGGGAACGUACCUUUGGUUCGGAACAACACAGGGAAACUUGUGCUAAUACCGGAUAAGCCCUUACGGGAAAGAUUUAUCGCCGAAAGAUUGGCCCGCGUCUGAUUAGCUAGUUGGUGAGGUAACGGCUCACCAAGGCUUCGAUCAGUAGCUGGUUUGAGAGAGCGACCAGCCACACUGGGACUGAGACACGGCCCAGACUCCUACGGGAGGCAGCAGUGGGGAAUCUUGGACAAUGGGCGAAAGCCUGAUCCAGCCAUGCCGCGUGAGUGAUGAAGGCCUUCGGGUUGUAAAACUCUUUUACCUGGGAAGAUAAUGACUGUACCAGGAGAAUAAGCCCCGGCUAACUUCGUGCCAGCAGCCGC